UACGGAGGGUGCAAGCGUUAUCCGGAUUCACUGGGUUUAAAGGGUGCGCAGGCGGCCGAGUGUGUUAGGUGUGAAAUCCCGGGGCUCAACCCCGGAACUGCGUCUAAAACUACUUGGCUAGAGUAUUGGAGAGGGUAUCGGAAUUCACGGUGUAGCAGUGAAAUGCGUAGAUAUCGUGAGGAACACCAGAGGCGAAGGCGGAUACCUGGACAAUUACUGACGCUCAGGCACGAAAGCGUGGGGAGCAAAAGGG
rnacentral:rRNA from 1 species